AGAGUUUGAUUUUGGCUCAGAUUGAACGCUGGCGGCAUGCCUUACACAUGCAAGUCGAACGGCAGCACGGGAGCUUGCUCCUGGUGGCGAGUGGCGAACGGGUGAGUAAUAUAUCGGAACGUACCCUAGAGUGGGGGAUAACGCAGCGAAAGUUGCGCUAAUACCGCAUACGAUCUACGGAUGAAAGUGGGGGAUCGCAAGACCUCAUGCUCAUGGAGCGGCCGAUAUCUGAUUAGCUAGUUGGUGGGGUAAAGGCCUACCAAGGCAUCGAUCAGUAGCUGGUCUGAGAGGACGACCAGCCACACUGGAACUGAGACACGGUCCAGACUCCUACGGGAGGCAGCAGUGGGGAAUUUUGGACAAUGGGGGCAACCCUGAUCCAGCAAUGCCGCGUGAGUGAAGAAGGCCUUCGGGUUGUAAAACUCUUUUGUCAGGGAAGAAACGGUGAGGGCUAAUAUCCUUUGCUAAUGACGGUACCUGAAGAAUAAGCACCGGCUAACUACGUGCCAGCAGCCGCGGUAAUACGUAGGGUGCAAGCGUUAAUCGGAAUUACUGGGCGUAAAGCGUGCGCAGGCGGUUAUGUAAGUCAGAUGUGAAAUCCCCGGGCUCAACCUGGGAAUGGCAUUUGAGACUGCAUGGCUAGAGUGUGUCAGAGGGGGGUAGAAUUCCACGUGUAGCAGUGAAAUGCGUAGAGAUGUGGAGGAAUACCGAUGGCGAAGGCAGCCCCCUGGGAUAACACUGACGCUCAUGCACGAAAGCGUGGGGAGCAAACAGGAUUAGAUACCCUGGUAGUCCACGCCCUAAACGAUUAUAGUAGUGUCGGGACUUAAUUGUCUUGGUAACGCAGCUAAACGCGGAAAGUAGUACCGCCUGGGGAGUACGGUCGCAAGAAUAAAAAUCAAAGGAAUAGACGGGGACCCGCCCCACCCGUGGAUGAGGUGGAUUAAUUCGAUGCAACGCGAAAAACCUUACCUACCCUUGACAUGUACGGAACCUCUGAGAGAUUAGAGGGUGCUCGAAAGAGAGCCGUAACACAGGCGCUGCAUGGCUGUCGUCAGCUCGUGUCGUGAGAUGUUGGGUUAAGUCCCGCAACGAGCGCAACCCUUGUCAUUAGUUGCUACGAAAGGGCACUCUAAUGAGACUGCCGGUGACAAACCGGAGGAAGGUGGGGAGGACGUCAAGUCCUCAUGGCCCUUAUGGGUAGGGCUUCACACGUCAUACAAUGGUACAUACAGAGGGCCGCCAACCCGCGAGGGGGAGCUAAUCCCAGAAAGAGUAUCGUAGUCCGGAUUGUAGUCUGCAACUCGACUACAUGAAGUUGGAAUCGCUAGUAAUCGCGGAUCAGCAUGUCGCGGUGAAUAAAAUCCCGGGUCUUGUACUCACCGCCCGUCA
rnacentral:rRNA from 1 species